rnacentral:misc_RNA from 1 species
AACGCACAUUGCGCCCCUUGGUAUUCCGAGGGGCAUGCCUGUUCGAGCGUCAUUAUAACCACUCAAGCCUGGCUUGGUAUUGGGGUCCGCGGUCUCGCGGCCCUUAAAAUCAGUGGCGGUGCCGUCUGGCUCUAAGCGUAGUAAUUUUUCUCGCUACAGGGUCUGGUGGUUACUUGCCAUUAACCCCCCAUUUUCUAAGGUUGACCUCGGAUCAGGUAGGGAUACCCGCUGAACUUAA